GCCAGGCGCAAUAGUGCAUGCCUGUAGUCCCAGCUACUUGGGAGGCUGAGGCUGAAGGAUCACUUCAGUCCAGGAGUUCUGGGCUAUAGUAGUGUGCUAUGACGUUAAGUUGUCCACACUAAGUUCGGCAUCAAUUUGGUGACCUCCAAGGAGCAGGGGACCACCAGGUUACCUAAGGAGGGGUGAACUAGCCCAGGCUGGAAAUGGAGCAGGUCAAAACUUCCAUGCUGAUCAGUAGUGGGAUUGCACCAAUGAAUGGCACUGGACUCCAGCCUGGGCAACAGAGCAAGACCCUUCUCU
rnacentral:SRP_RNA from 1 species